rnacentral:misc_RNA from 1 species
UCCCCGUUCACCGGGGCAGUCCCCUCAGAGUGCCCGGCAUGAUCCGGUAGCAACAAAGGGCAAGGGUUGCGCUCGUUGCGGGACUUAACCCAACAUCUCACGACACGAGCUGACGACAGCCAUGCACCACCUGUGCACGACCCCGAAGGACACCUUAUCUCUACGGCUUUUCCGUGCAUGUCAAACCCAGGUAAGGUUCUUCGCGUUGCCUCGAAUUAAACCACAUGCUCCACCGCUUGUGCGGGCCCCCGUCAAUUCCUUUGAGUUUCAGCCUUGCGGCCGUACUCCCCAGGCGGGGCACUUAAUGCGUUAGCGACGGCACCCAGGGGGUCGCUCCCCCAGGCACCUAGUGCCCAUCGUUUACGGCGUGGACUAC